rnacentral:rRNA from 1 species
AGGCUACCGGAUAUAGAUUCGGGCUCGGCCCGAUCCUCCCACCCUUUGUGUACCUACCUCUGUUGCUUUGGCGGGCCGCGGUCCUCCGCGGCCGCCCCCCUCCCCGGGGGGUGGCCAGCGCCCGCCAGAGGACCAUCAAACUCCAGUCAGUAAACGAUGCAGUCUGAAAAACAUUUAAUAAACUAAAACUUUCAACAACGGAUCUCUUGGUUCUGGCAUCGAUGAAGAACGCAGCGAAAUGCGAUAAGUAAUGUGAAUUGCAGAAUUCAGUGAAUCAUCGAAUCUUUGAACGCACAUUGCGCCCUUUGGUAUUCCGAAGGGCAUGCCUGUUCGAGCGUCAUUACAACCCUCAAGCUCUGCUUGGUAUUGGGCACCGUCCUUUGCGGGCGCGCCUCAAAGACCUCGGCGGUGGCGUCUUGCCUCAAGCGUAGUAGAACAUACAUCUCGCUUCGGAGCGCAGGGCGUCGCCCGCCGGACGAACCUUCUGAACUUUUCUCAAGGUUGACCUCGGAUCAGGUAGGGAUACCCGCUGAACUUAAGCAUAUCAAAA